rnacentral:rRNA from 1 species
AGAGUUUGAUCAUGGCUCAGAUUGAACGCUGGCGGCAGGCCUAACACAUGCAAGUCGAGCGGUAGCACAGAGAGCUUGCUCUCGGGUGACGAGCGGCGGACGGGUGAGUAAUGUCUGGGAAACUGCCUGAUGGAGGGGGAUAACUACUGGAAACGGUAGCUAAUACCGCAUAACGUCGCAAGACCAAAGUGGGGGACCUUCGGGCCUCAUGCCAUCAGAUGUGCCCAGAUGGGAUUAGCUAGUAGGUGGGGUAACGGCUCACCUAGGCGACGAUCCCUAGCUGGUCUGAGAGGAUGACCAGCCACACUGGAACUGAGACACGGUCCAGACUCCUACGGGAGGCAGCAGUGGGGAAUAUUGCACAAUGGGCGCAAGCCUGAUGCAGCCAUGCCGCGUGUGUGAAGAAGGCCUUCGGGUUGUAAAGCACUUUCAGCGGGGAGGAAGGCGNUAAGGUUAAUAACCUUNGCGAUUGACGUUACCCGCAGAAGAAGCACCGGCUAACUCCGUGCCAGCAGCCGCGGUAAUACGGAGGGUGCAAGCGUUAAUCGGAAUUACUGGGCGUAAAGCGCACGCAGGCGGUCUGUCAAGUCGGAUGUGAAAUCCCCGGGCUCAACCUGGGAACUGCAUUCGAAACUGGCAGGCUAGAGUCUUGUAGAGGGGGGUAGAAUUCCAGGUGUAGCGGUGAAAUGCGUAGAGAUCUGGAGGAAUACCGGUGGCGAAGGCGGCCCCCUGGACAAAGACUGACGCUCAGGUGCGAAAGCGUGGGGAGCAAACAGGAUUAGAUACCCUGGUAGUCCACGCCGUAAACGAUGUCGAUUUGGAGGUUGUGCCCUUGAGGCGUGGCUUCCGGAGCUAACGCGUUAAAUCGACCGCCUGGGGAGUACGGCCGCAAGGUUAAAACUCAAAUGAAUUGACGGGGGCCCGCACAAGCGGUGGAGCAUGUGGUUUAAUUCGAUGCAACGCGAAGAACCUUACCUGGUCUUGACAUCCACAGAACUUUCCAGAGAUGGAUUGGUGCCUUCGGGAACUGUGAGACAGGUGCUGCAUGGCUGUCGUCAGCUCGUGUUGUGAAAUGUUGGGUUAAGUCCCGCAACGAGCGCAACCCUUAUCCUUUGUUGCCAGCGGUNNGGCCGGGAACUCAAAGGAGACUGCCAGUGAUAAACUGGAGGAAGGUGGGGAUGACGUCAAGUCAUCAUGGCCCUUACGACCAGGGCUACACACGUGCUACAAUGGCAUAUACAAAGAGAAGCGACCUCGCGAGAGCAAGCGGACCUCAUAAAGUAUGUCGUAGUCCGGAUUGGAGUCUGCAACUCGACUCCAUGAAGUCGGAAUCGCUAGUAAUCGUAGAUCAGAAUGCUACGGUGAAUACGUUCCCGGGCCUUGUACACACCGCCCGUCACACCAUGGGAGUGGGUUGCAAAAGAAGUAGGUAGCUUAACCUUCGGGAGGGCGCUUACCACUUUGUGAUUCAUGACUGGGGUGAAGUCGUAACAAGGUAACCGUAGGGGAACCUGCGGUUG